AGGUACCAGCAAUAUCACUAGUGACAAAUGAGUCUACUCUUCAUGUUGAUGAUAUAUUGUCUGUCAUCCAGUCCACUUUUUGUGAGCUUCAAGGCCCAGAUCAUUGUUGGUUAAAUAGAGUUGAAGGAGAAAAAGAUUGCUUCAAGGAAGAUGGAACCUUUUUGGUUCUUGCUGGACAAUUCUUUGAGAAUUCUCAAAUAGUUCUUAUGAUUGAAAAAAUCAAGUCACUUCAGCGGA
rnacentral:misc_RNA from 1 species